rnacentral:rRNA from 1 species
UACAGAGGUCCCAAGCGUUGUUCGGAUUCAUUGGGCGUAAAGGGUGCGUAGGUGGCGCUGUAAGUCGGGUGUGAAAUUUCGGAGCUUAACUCCGAAACUGCAUUCGAUACUGCGGUGCUCGAGGACUGGAGAGGAGACUGGAAUUCAUGGUGUAGCAGUGAAAUGCGUAGAGAUCGUAAGGAAGACCAGUGGCGAAGGCGGGUCUCUGGACAGUUCCUGACGCUGAGGCACGAAGGCCAGGGGAGCAAACGGG